rnacentral:rRNA from 1 species
CAGCUUGCUACACCGGAACAUCCAGAGAUGGGUGUCCCCCUUGUGGUACGGAUGUACAGGUGGUUGCAUGGCUGUCGUCAGCUCGUGUCGUGAGAUGUUGGGUUAAGUCCCGCAACGAGCGCAACCCUUGUCCCGUGUUGCCAGCAGGCCCUUGUGGUGCUGGGGACUCACGGGAGACCGCCGGGGUCAACUCGGAGGAAGGUGGGGACGACGUCAAGUCAUCAUGCCCCUUAUGUCUUGGGCUGCACACGUGCUACAAUGGCCGGUACAAUGAGCUGCGAUACCGUGAGGUGGAGCGAAUCUCAAAAAGCCGGUCUCAGUUCGGAUUGGGGUCUGCAACUCGACCCCAUGAAGUCGGAGUCGCUAGUAAUCGCAGAUCAGCAUUGCUGCGGUGAAUACGUUCCCGGGUCUUGUACACACGCA